GAUCCUGGCUCAGGAUGAACGCUGGCGGCGUGCUUAACACAUGCAAGUCGAACGAAGCACUUUACCACGAUUCCUUCGGGAUGACGGUUUAGUGACUGAGUGGCGGACGGGUGAGUAACGCGUGGGGAACCGUGCCCCAUACCGGGGGAGUAACAGCCGGAAACGGCUGCUAAUACCGCAUAAGCGCACAGUACCGCAUGGUAUGGUGUGAAAAACUCCGGUGGUAUGGGAUGGACCCGCGUCUGAUUAG
rnacentral:rRNA from 1 species